AUGGAAGUGAUGAUUUUUUCCCCAGAUGAUCGAAACUGAAAUUACCGAGCGCUUUAUUUGUGUUUUCUCCAGUUUUCUGGAGAUAAUCCAAGCCAGAUUUGUCUGAUCCAU